UACAGAGGUCUCAAGCGUUGUUCGGAUUCAUUGGGCGUAAAGGGCGCGUAGGCGGCAAGGCAAGUCGGGUGUGAAAGCUUGGGGCUUAACCCCGAAAGGGCACUCGAAACUGCCCUGCUAGAGGGCCGGAGAGGAGAUCGGAAUUCACGGUGUAGCAGUGAAAUGCGUAGAGCUCGUGAGGAAGACCGGUGGCGAAGGCGGAUCUCUGGACGGCCCCUGACGCUGAGGCGCGAAGGCUAGGGGAGCGAAUGGG
rnacentral:rRNA from 1 species